AGCGAACGCUGGCGGCAGGCCUAACACAUGCAAGUCGAACGAAGUCUUCGGACUUAGUGGCGGACGGGUGAGUAACACGUGGGAACGUGCCUUUAGGUUCGGACUAACUCAGGGAAACUUGUGCUAAUACCGAAUGUGCCCUUCGGGGGAAAGAUUUAUCGCCUUUAGAGCGGCCCGCGUCUGAUUAGCUAGUUGGUGGGGUAAUGGCCCACCAAGGCUACGAUCAGUAGCUGGUCUGAGAGGAUGACCAGCCACAUUGGGACUGAGACACGGCCCAAACUCCUACGGGAGGCAGCAGUGGGGAAUCUCGCGCAAUGGGCGAAAGCCUGACGCAGCCAUGCCGCGUGGAUGAUGAAGGUCUUAGGAUUGUAAAAUCCUUACACCGGUGAAGAUAAUGACUGUAGCCGGAGAAGAAGCCCCGGCUAACUUCGUGCCAGCAGCCGCAGUAACAC
rnacentral:rRNA from 1 species